rnacentral:tRNA from 4 species
GCCCCCUUAGCUCAGUCGGUAGAGCGUUUCCAUGGUAAGGAAAGGGUCAACGGUUCGAUUCCGUUAGGGGGCU